UACGAAGGGGGCUAGCGUUGCUCGGAAUUACUGGGCGUAAAGGGCGCGUAGGCGGACAGUUAAGUCAGAGGUGAAAGCCCAGGGCUCAACCCUGGAACUGCCUUUGAUACUGAAGAUCUUGAGUUCGGGAGAGGUGAGUGGAACUGCGAGUGUAGAGGUGAAAUUCGUAGAUAUUCGCAAGAACACCCGUGGCGAAGGCGGCACUCUGGGACGGUACUGACGCUGAGACGCGAAAGCGUGGGGAGCAAACAGG
rnacentral:rRNA from 1 species